rnacentral:rRNA from 1 species
ACUCCUACGGGGAGGCAGCAGGUAGGGAAUAUUGCACGAAUGGGCGCAAGCCUGAUGCAGCCAUGCCGCGUGUGUGAAGAAGGGCCUUCGGGUUGAUAAAGCACUUUUCAGUCGUGAGGAAGGUAGUGUAGUUAAUAGCUGCAUUAUUUGACGUUAGCGACAGAAGAAGCACCGGCUAACUCCGUGCCAGCAGCCGCGGUAAUACGGAGGGUGCGAGCGUUAAUCGGAAUUACUGGGCGUAAAGCGCAUGCAGGUGGUUUGUUAAGUCAGAUGUGAAAGCCCGGGGCUCAACCUCGGAAUUGCAUUUGAAACUGGCAGACUAGAGUACUGUAGAGGGGGGUAGAAUUUCAGGUGUAGCGGUGAAAUGCGUAGAGAUCUGAAGGAAUACCGGUGGCGAAGGCGGCCCCCUGGACAGAUACUGACACUCAGAUGCGAAAGCGUGGGGAGCAAACAGGAUUAGAUACCCUGGUAGCUACGAGU